UCGUCCUUUUUUUUUUUUGCACGCCCGUCCGCCGGCGUUUGCACGCGCGUUUGGCUUGCACACGCACAUACAUACACGCGCGCGCUGCGCUUCGGAGCGCGCGGCGGCGGCGGGAAGGGGAUGGAGAUGGGGGAGCCGGGCUUUGGGGAGAGAGGAUUUACCCCCCUCUCGAGACACACACACACACACGGACACGGACACGGACGGGCACGGACACAAACGCCCGCGCGCGCGCGCCCCCGGCGAUAACCAGACCCGCGCGCCCUUUUUUUGCACCGUGCGCGAAGUUCAAGAACGGGCGCCGCGCUUCUCGCGGGCCGCGCAGGUUCCGGCCGGUGGCUCGGGGGACUGCAAAGCCCAUGCGCCGCGCCCGGCGUGCCAGCCCGCCUUGCAAGGAGGGACGCGGCGAUCCGGCCGUCCCCGAGAGGAGUGGGGAAGGGAGGGGAGGGAAAGGGGUUCGCUUGGGUAGUUGCGGAUCUGCUAUGGCAGGUUUUCCGCCGUCGGGUGGGAGGCUGCCUUUCCCCCCCCCCUUCCACGCUGCGUUGUAAAGGAGACUUGGGUGGGGUGGAUCGGGCCCUUCUGGCCGGCGAAGGCGCGUUUGGCUGCUGAAGGCGCGUUCACACGUGCAGGCGGAGCGGAUCCUCGCCGAGCCGAGCAUAAGCGCUCGGCCAGGGAAAGUGACAGCGCGGGUGGCUUUGAUCUAAUAAUCGCUUUGGAAAGAAACGGGUGGGGGUUUUGCUCGGAAGGAUUGCACGCCGAGUGAGCCAAGAGCCCUGCAAGGCCGCCUAGCCUGACAGAGGAGAGGAGACGGGCAGCCCUGUAAAUAAAAGAAGCAAUAAGCGGACCUUUAUAAAUGCACAGUAGCCGUCGUUCUCGGCUUACGACCACGACGGAGCCCAAAACGCACCUGGAUUUUCUUUGUUUCUCCUUGAAGAUGUUUCGCUUCUCACCCAAGAGGCUUCU